AAGAGAUGUAUUUUCCACUGAGGUUUUGAGAGAGAUGAAGAAAGAGUGAAGCAGAGAGGUAAAAGGGGGUCUGAGAGAGAAGUGCACAGCACUGCAUUUACUGAGACCUCGGGAGGACACAGGAUAGGUGACAAGUAGCCAGGCGGGACAGAUGGAGGAGAUAUCACUUUUCUGGGAUGGGCUGGGAGAAACAAGCAGAAGUUACGUACUUGGUGUCUAUUACUCUUCCUAUUACUGGUGUAUCAACACUCCUGGGCUCUAUAUGGUGCUAGCGCCAAUGCUUCUCUCCUGGGUUGCUCCUAUCAAGGGGAACACAAGUCAACAGAGAUCAAGACACUGAUGGCUUUUUUGGUGUUCAGACUCUGGCUGCUGGAUCAUUUUGCAGUCUCUUUGCAGGAGGCAUGGGACAGUGUGACCAAUGGCCAAAUGAACACCAGAAACAUAUCCGGUUGUCAGGCCCUGAAUCCACUGAUGACCCUGAUCAGCCUCACCUGGGGCCUCCAGCCACAGGCCCAGGAGCUCCAUCUAAGCUCAGUGCUGGUGCUCUAUUCCUUUCCUGAGCUCUGCUGAUGGUGUCCCUGUCCCCAGGUGGUCCUGCCUCCAGGAUAGACCUCAGACCUGUGUGGACUUUUCCCUCUGUCACACUCUUCUCCUGUGAAGGGAUCUCAGACCAGAAAGUCUCUGGCCAGUGCCUACCUCAGUCACAGUGGGUGGAUUGUGCUGCUGAGUGUUUAGGAGAUGGACAGGAGAAUAGGCAGCACAUGUAAGGUUUCAUGGCAAUGGUUGGCUGUGAUCUCUGGCGUGGCCUCUGUAGUUGUUCUGCCCUGCCUUUGACAUAACAUGCAUGGACAUGAUGGACUCAUCCCAAGGAUACCCUGUGCCUGGUGGCAGAUGGAUUCCAGGCUGAAAGGAGGAAAAACAGAUCAUGAAGCUAUGAGGCACUGGUAGGUUGAAGGCAUCUCCUACUCUUUGCCAAAAAGCCACACCAAGGCUCGUGUGCUGCUGCCAGAAGAAACUGAAUUGCAGAGCUCUAUUCAUCAGCUCCUGAUGAUGUCUACAAGAUAACGGCAGCACCGAGACAGCGUGAAGUGGGAUUGCAACAGGGAGGGAGCAGAGCAUGUUCAUUUUAAUGAGCUUGUCCCUGCCUAAAGGAGAGAGAAAGCAAGAGGCCAACCUGGUUUAAUAAACUCUAGCAUGUGGGUUUAAUCAGAUGGAUCAUUGUUCCCUGGCACAGGGAUGAAUAUAUUAAAAAAAAAAGAAUGAUUCAAACUUUUCCCCUAUUGUUUUUCAUUUGUAUUAUGUGCCAUGGUGUGAUAAAGUAUCCUGGGGCCAACUUGCAAGGCAAUAAAAGAGACAGUGAAGGAGAGCAAGAUGUUGAUCCAUGCGAGUUAGCACAAGCACGGUGGGGAGGGAGGCCGCUGGUGGGCAGGGCUUGA